UUUAUUACGUUUUAUAUUCCUUCAUGUCAUAUUAGUUAUCAAAUUUCUUUUGGCCGUUGUCAUCAUUACUUUCACCGUUCGCUUCUUCGUUAUAGUCUUCAUCUUCAUCUUCCACGUUAUCUUUCUCACUUUCUUCCUCAUCUUCUCUAUAUUAUUCGUUAUUAUGUGAUUAAAAACAGAGCA
rnacentral:sRNA from 1 species